GAUGAACGCUGGCGGCGUGCCUAAUACAUGCAAGUCGAGCGAACAGACGAGGAGCUUGCUCCUCUGACGUUAGCGGCGGACGGGUGAGUAACACGUGGAUAACCUACCUAUAAGACUGGGAUAACUUCGGGAAACCGGAGCUAAUACCGGAUAAUAUAUUGAACCGCAUUGUUCAUUAGUGAAAGACGGUUUUGCUGUCACUUAUAGAUGGAUCCGCGCCGCAUUAGCUAGUUGGUAAGGUAACGGCUUACCAAGGCAACGAUGCGUAGCCGACCUGAGAGGGUGAUCGGCCACAAUGGAACUGAGACACGGUCCAGACUCCUACGGGAGGCAGCAGUAGGGAAUCUUCCGCAAUGGGCGAAAGCCUGACGGAGCAACGCCGCGUGAGUGAUGAAGGUCUUCGGAUCGUAAAACUCUGUUAUUAGGGAAGAACAAAUGUGUAAGUAACUAUGCACGUCUUGACGGUACCUAAUCAGAAAGCCACGGCUAACUACGUG
rnacentral:rRNA from 1 species